rnacentral:misc_RNA from 1 species
CGCCUAUGACACGCGUGCAUGUAAAUUUGUUUUGAUCCUUCUUCCGGAAAAAGAGAGAGAAAACAGAUCAAGCAGGCAAAGAAGCGGGCGUCCUCACGACUCGAUAGCCCUUCCCUCCCUGAUCCCUCGGCCCCACCGCGCCCACACACGGCAGCAGCACCAGCGCCUUCUUUCUUUUCUCCUCCUCCCCGCACCAUUACAGACGAACACACGGCACUCGCCGUCGCCCUCCUCGUGCGCGCGUGGACCACCUUCCGCACUCUGCAUCCUGUAGCGGCAGCGUCGCCCAUUCGCCACGGCCUAUUACGCCUCCCCCUCUCUCUUCCUUUGUCUCACCGAGAGACACGCACGGAAGAGGGAGGGAAGACAGGAGCGGCGGAGCAAACAACAACGGUGAAGGCUUUAUGCUCGUGCCGUUCUCUUCGGCGAGCUGCUUGACAUGACAUCCAUGGUACGCCACUACUCUCUUUCCAAUCCGCCGCCGCUCGAGGGCGCGCUGGAUGGCCGCGAGACGGCGCACGAGGCGGAGAUACUGGAGGUGCAAGCUCUCCAGGCGGAGCGUGAUGGCGAAUGCGGGCGCGAUAUACUGCUCAUGGAGCGCGCGCUGCAGAUUCGCUGCCACCUGGUGAACCGACUGCGCGAGAAAUGGGCCAAUGCUGCGUCAGGGACGGGUUCGCCGUCGGCCGCCGGCGCUCAUCGCGUGUCUGUCCUCGCUAAUGCGGAUGCGGUGGGCAAAGAAGAGCUUCUUUUGGAGUAUCAGGCCCAAUGUGGUGAGCUCUACGACGCGGCCGAGCGCCUGGUGGUUCGCUGCAACGGGCUCGGUGUCGAGCAUUUUAAGCGAGGCGCAUUCUCGGAAGCCAGCCCACUGCUCGAGUAUGCGAUGCAGCUAACGGAGGAUGGGGCGUACCCGCUGUGCGAGGUCGAUGAGCGACGGCGGCACUUGCGCGGGGUCACGCUCAACAACCUCGGCUGCAUGGAGCGCCGCCGCGGCCACUUCUCCGAGGCACUACAGUACAUGAAGUCGUCGAUGGAGAUGACCGGGGUCGAGUCACCUGUGGCAUACAUGAACACCAGCGCUAUUCUUAUCCAGCUAAGGCUCAGCGACGAGGCGGUGCGCAUGGCGGAGCGCUCCAUCGAGCUACUUUACCAAACACCCGAAGACCCGUCGCUGCUGGCAGUGGCGCAUCACAACCUGGCCAUGGCACUCGAGCCGGUCGAUCCGGCACGGUGCUUGGAGGAGUAUGCGCUAGCAUACCGGACGGCCUGCUCCACGCUGGGCCCGGAGAGCGAGACGAGUCUCUCUAUUCUGCGCAGCUGGAGGAGGUAUGAGGCGACACGCGUGCCCCCGGCAAUGGGGGCGUUCUUCACGGCCGGUGAUGGCGCUGCCGCAUCUCGGCUACGUGGGCUCGCUGGUGCCGCGCCAACCAGGCAUGCAUACACUGCACCGCAUCGCUUGCCUGCAACGAUGCCGCGCACACACAACGGCAAGAGCGGUGCUGGCCCCCCGAUGGACUUGAUAGAGCUCUUUCCCCACCCUUUUCUGCCCAGCGCGUCCAUCUCGUCCGCUCCGACGAAGACGCCGCGGGAUGUGACGCCGAUCUACCGCCCCGCAGUGGUGCCCCGUCGGCCUCUUGCCCCUAGACCGCCGCCAGGCGUAACGGCAACCUCAUCCAGUCGCAGUCGUGAGCCACAGUCGCAGCCGCGCCACCAGCAGCAAGAGCAGCACCGACAGCCGCGGCGUCAGUAUGGGACGGAGAAGGUGAUGCGUUCCUCGCCACCAGCCUCCCGCACUGCGGUGGCGGCUCCACGACCGCCACCCGCCAACCGGGCGAGCGAGCUUGCGGUGGCAGCCGGCAGCGGCCGCGUCGCCGCUUCAAUGACGCCGUCGCCCCCGCCCUCUCGCCAGAGGCAAACGACCGCCCACCGGCGCUACUCGCCUACCACACCAGCGCAAGAGUCGUCACGGAAGUCACCGCCGCGUACAGACACCCGUCAGCAACGCUUGCCGAUGCAAAAGAGGACUGCGGAUGCAUGCCUAACCGCUAGCGGGCCACGAAAGCGGGAGAAGAGCACAUCCCACUACGCCAGUGACCGACUCACAACGCAGGCAUCGUCCACCGCGCUGUUGUCUUCCCCUGUGCAGUCACCAGGACGCGGGCCACGUCGCCCCAUAAAGGAGAGCGGCAGCAGCAACCAUUCUCUCCCCAUGCCACUGCCGCGAAACCUCCCGCCAUUGCAGACCGCCGUCGCUGCGGAGCCGCCUGCGGUGGCGCCGAAUCCGUCGUACUCCCGCUCGUUGCACGACGCAAAGACGAAUGCGUCGCUCCCACCCACCUCAGCGUCGCUUUCCCUCACGUCAGAUCCGCUGACGUUUCUGCAGAAUCGACUCGAAAUUCUGCUUCAAGACGAAGAAGAGCUGGAGCACAAGUACGCUCAAGCGACAGUGAUUCAGCGGUACUACCGCGGUCACCUGGCCCAUCGUCGCGUGGCAGCACUCCGAGCCACACGCGCGAGUUAUGCACGGCUCGCCCAGCUGCGCCGCCAUAUGGCAGCACGUUGCAUUCAGCGAGCGUUUCGGCGCCACCGCCGCCACAGCCGCUACCCUCUUGCAGCUGAUCAGCUGGGCCGCUACGCAGCAGCCGGAGGCCGACGCGGUGCCCAGCACCAAGCGGCUACGCAGCUGCAGCGAAUUGCGCGCGGUUGGUUGGCACGGCGUCACUACGCGCAGCUGCGCAAGUACACAUGUGAGAGUCCAGCAGCCGCAGCUCGCAUCCAGCGCUGGAUUCGCGCACUGCAAGCGCGACGCCACUACGCAGCCUUGCUCACCGCAAAGGCACAGCAGGAGGCCAUGGCGCUUGAGCACGAACGUCGUCAGUACGCGGCGACUCGCAUUCAAGGCCAGUGGCUCACCCACCUGCAGCGCAGAGCAUGCCAGGCGGCCCUGCGCAACCGUAUGAUGGCACGUGCCGCCGAGGAUGCCCGAUGUCGCAUGAGGGCGGCUAUCAUCAUCCAGUCAGCAUGGCGAGGGUAUCAGGCGCGCCGGCUCUAUCAAGACACGUACUUGCGCACCUCCCAGCUGCGCACGGCCCGGCUGGAGUACGAGCGCCGUCGUCAGGCUGCUGUGCGACUUCAGGCAUUUGGGCGGAUGCUCAUAGCCAGGCAGCACGCAACUCCGCUGCUGACGGUCGCCCGCUUUCGAGCAGCGGCUGAGAUUCGAACCCGCAGCCACGAAGGGCAGGCCGCUAUUAAGAUUCAGUGUGCCUACCGUCGCCACGUGGCUCGUCGAGUGUGUGCCACCAAGCGUGCAGCGCGCAAGAAGCAAAUUAGUCAGGACCUAGUGCAGGUGCGCACCGCAACUGUGCAACGUGCGGGACGAGGCUACAUGGCGCGGAAAGAUGUAGGGAGAAAGAUGUCAGCGGUGCAGGCUGAGGCAGAGCGGUACGAGCGCCGUCUGCUGGCUUUGAAGCAGAAAGAGCUGGGGGCUGCACGCGCCGUCGCGCUGGCAUCUCAGCUCAAUAUCUCCGCACUACGCGAAUGCGAAGGUGAGCAGCGGCGCAUGCUUGCGCGCGCGGAGCAGCAGCAAUGGCACGACAUGCUCACACAGUGCAACGCACUCUUAGCGUCGACAAAGGAGACUGAGGUAAAGCAAGAGGCGAUGAAGGCGAUUUCGUCAGUGGCCUUACACGGCUUUUCCCGCAUCAUCAAGGCGAAGAAGCAGCGAGCCCAUCGCCAAGAGGCGCGCGACGCCUACCUGGACCAGUGCGCGGCAGAGGAUGCCGAGGCACAUAAGGAGGCGAGCGCGCGCGUGAUAACUGACUUCAUGCGUAGCGCCGCCGCGCGCAGCACCUUGCGUAGCCUAUCCAAGACGAUGAGUUCGUACAACGACGCUCGUGCGAUGCAGGAGGAGGAUGAUAAGACGCCUGCGGCUGCGACGACGGAUGAGGCGGCCCCGAAGCGCCCGCUCACGGCGGAGCAGAUUGCGGCUGAGCGUGCUGAGCUGGACCGGCUGGAGCGCGAGCUGCUGGCCUCUGAGGCCACGGCGGCCCCGAAGCGCCCGCUCACGGCGGAGCAGAUUGCGGCUGAGCGUGCUGAGCUGGACCGGCUGGAGCGCGAGGAGCUGCUGGCCUCUGAGGCCACGGCGGCCCCGAAGCGCCCGCUCACGGCGGAGCAGAUUGCGGCUGAGCGCGCUGAGCUGGACCGGCUGGAGCGCGAGCUGCUGGCCUCUGAGGCCACGGCGGCCCCGAAGCGCCCGCUCACGGCGGAGCAGAUUGCGGCUGAGCGCGCUGAGCUGGACCGGCUGGAGCGCGAGGAGCUGCUGGGUGAGAGAGAUACCACAAGCGCGUACGAGGAAGAGCGACCUCCAGCUGCUGAUGAGUCUUUCACUUCGGCAGAUGCAUCUGUUAGUGCCAGUGCUUUGGCAGAUGUGAUGCUUGCUCGUCUGAAGGCCAUCUGGCAGGCCGAGUUGGCGGCAGAGAAGCAGCGCCGCCAACAACGCGAGGAUCUACAUCGGGCUAUCUUCGAACACAGGCAGCAGCGCAUCGCAGCCGCCGAGGAGGGAGAGGAGCUUUCUCCCUAUCGUAUUAACCGGGUGCACCUGCAGAUGCCCUCCUCGGCUGCGCCGAAGAAGGCACUCCCGUCGCCGGCAGAAUUGCCCACAACUAUGGGGAAUAAGUACCGUCAGGAGCGCGCUGCACAGGAGCGUGCUGCUGUACACUGCAUCGAGCGCUACUUCAUUGGCUGGGGCGCCCGAAAGCACCUGAAGGCGUUGCUACGCGUGCUGGAUGAGUAUCUCAGUGCCCUGCAGGACUUUGACCGUCACGAGGGGCCCGUGCUUACCUUCGUGCGGCUCCGCGAAGUACUAGCCCGUUACCCAGACUUGCAAACGCGUGUUUCGCAGCUGCCCGUUUCCCUAUCCCCUCCUGAAUGUGCCGCCAUUGAAGAUGUAAACUCAUCAGCUUCACCAGCAAUAUCAAUAACCUCGAGGAAAACUCUGAAAGGCUUUUCCCGCAUCAUCAAGGCGAAGAAGCAGCGAGCCCAUCGCCAAGAGGCGCGCGACACCUACCUGGACCAGUGCGCGGCAGAGGAUGCCGAGGCACAUAAGGAGGCGAGCGCGCGCGUGAUAACUGACUUCAUGCGUAGCGCCGCCGCGCGCAGCACCUUGCGUAGCCUAUCCAAGACGAUGAGUUCGUACAACGACGCUCGUGCGAUGCAGGAGGAGGAUGAUAAGACGCCUGCGGCUGCGACGACGGAUGAGGCGGCCCCGAAGCGCCCGCUCACGGCGGAGCAGAUUGCGGCUGAGCGUGCUGAGCUGGACCGGCUGGAGCGCGAGCUGCUGGCCUCUGAGGCCACGGCGGCCCCGAAGCGCCCGCUCACGGCGGAGCAGAUUGCGGCUGAGCGUGCUGAGCUGGACCGGCUGGAGCGCGAGGAGCUGCUGGCCUCUGAGGCCACGGCGGCCCCGAAGCGCCCGCUCACGGCGGAGCAGAUUGCGGCUGAGCGUGCUGAGCUGGACCGGCUGGAGCGCGAGCUGCUGGCCUCUGAGGCCACGGCGGCCCCGAAGCGCCCGCUCACGGCGGAGCAGAUUGCGGCUGAGCGUGCUGAGCUGGACCGGCUGGAGCGCGAGCUGCUGGCCUCUGAGGCCACGGCGGCCCCGAAGCGCCCGCUCACGGCGGAGCAGAUUGCGGCUGAGCGCGCUGAGCUGGACCGGCUGGAGCGCGAGCUGCUGGCCUCUGAGGCCACGGCGGCCCCGAAGCGCCCGCUCACGGCGGAGCAGAUUGCGGCUGAGCGCGCUGAGCUGGACCGGCUGGAGCGCGAGCUGCUGGCCUCUGAGGCCACGGCGGCCCCGAAGCGCCCGCUCACGGCGGAGCAGAUUGCGGCUGAGCGCGCUGAGCUGGACCGGCUGGAGCGCGAGGAGCUGCUGGCCUCUGAGGCCACGGCGGCCCCGAAGCGCCCGCUCACGGCGGAGCAGAUUGCGGCUGAGCGCGCUGAGCUGGACCGGCUGGAGCGCGAGCUGCUGGCCUCUGAGGCCACGGCGGCCCCGAAGCGCCCGCUCACGGCGGAGCAGAUUGCGGCUGAGCGUGCUGAGCUGGACCGGCUGGAGCGCGGGGAGAGAGAUGUCGAUGCAGGGGAGAUGAAAGCGUCGCCGCUCUUGGCGUCCGAGCAGCUGCUCGCAGAAGGUGCAGUGAUUGGCCAUCUUGAACGCUGGGAACAAAUAGGCUUCGAUGACGGAGCGAGACAUCCUCCACGACGACUGACCGAACAGCAGUUUGUGGUGGAGCGCUUGGCCUUGGACCAGCUGGACCACGUAAAGCAGGUGGCAACGGAGCGCGGAAGGCCGGACCGACCGAGCUGCGUGGAGCAAAAAAUGUUGAGCGCAGCUGCACUUUAUGCGCAGAGGGUGCAGGAGGAGCGUUGCAGCGCUGAUUCUGCGCACACCUCGACGCCAUCAUCGGUGAGGACAUUCGAGCCACGGCAGCUGGAAGGCCUCACCAGCAGCGAGGCGGGUGGUCGCUUGUGGGUGUUUGCCAAGGCCAUCCGAGACAAGAAGGACCUACGCCAACGGCAAGCUGCCCGUGACGCUUAUCUGCAAGAGAUGCACAAUGAAAAUGCCAUUGGUACAGACGAGGAGGAGAAGCAGCAGGAGGAGCGCGCACCGACGCCCUCUUCGGGCGCAAGUACGUGGCGGCGCUGCAGCAAUGAGGCUAGCGGCGACGAUAGAGAGAUGGUGAACCAGGAGGCGUUGUGCCAACUGUACCAUCAAGAGCGCCGAUCCUUCGCCUCCUCGCUUGUAGGCGGCUUUGUUGAUAUCAUCAAGGCGAAGAAGCAGCGAGCCCAUCGCCAAGAGGCGCGCGACGCCUACCUGGACCAGUGCGCGGCAGAGGAUGCCGAGGCACAUAAGGAGGCGAGCGCGCGCGUGAUAACUGACUUCAUGCGUAGCGCCGCCGCGCGCAGCACCUUGCGGAGCCUAUCCAAGACGAUGAGUUCGUACAACGACGCUCGUGCGAUGCAGGAGGAGGAUGAUAAGACGCCUGCGGCUCCGACGACGGAUGAUGGCAGCGGUGAGGGUGCGUACGCAACCUCUGCCGAGUUGUGUGAGCACUCCCCUUGGUCUGCGGCUCUCAGAAUCCAGCGCUUCUUCAGGGGCGUGCAGGCAAGGCGUCGAGUGCGAGUACUGCAAGAGGCAUACCGUGCCUACCUCGGGGAGGAGCUUGCAGUAGAGGAGCUACUCUACUCAGCGGCGGUUACCAUUCAGUGCUUGUACCGAGGCCAUCUGGCGCGUCGGCAGGCGGCCAUGGUCAUUGUGCAGCGUGAUCUCUACCUGCUGUCACUCCAGGAGGAGGAUGGGUCAGGUGCGGAUUCGAAGCGCGAAGAAGGGAGUGAUGCGCCCUUGCCAGCAGUUCUAUCGUUUCUUGCUUCCUCACCGAAGAUUGUCGCUGGCGGCGGGGCCGAGGCAGCGGCGACUCGCUCCUUCACCCCACGCCGCUCUUCCUCGUCAUCCUAUACUGGUCUGCGCGAAGUUGCCAGCACAGCCAUCGUGACCGAGGUGAAUGAGGCGGACGAGGCAGCGCUGGAUCAGCUUUUGCAUCGCCCCUGAGCUGCCGCUCUCCAUCUUGCGUCGGCGGCACGCCAAGAGCACCCGCACCCCGCCAUUUCCCGGGUACACAGUCAGAACAUCUGCGCGCAAUGUCAGGAGACUGCUGCCGUCUUUGCCCGCUUGCGUGCUUUCUUCCUUUUCGCUACUCGUAUUGUACUGCUAUACUGAUGGUGCACUCCACUAUAGGGGAAAGCGAGAGCGGUGUGGUCGAUGGCGGUGCGCGAUGUGUCUGUGUCGUGGCACUCACCGCCGCCGCUCGCGGUAUCACCGAGUGCCAAGAGAGUGGCAAACAACACUCCUUGUUGGUUUCGUCUCUGUGUCUCCUUAUCUCACAAUCACUCUCGUCGGUGGCGUUCCCCUUGGCCGCUUUCUUGAAUAUGUUUUCUGUUCUCUUCCCGUUGCCGGCGUUCUUUUUCUGUCGUUUCCGUGCCCGGUUGCUCUCACCCUUGUGGCUGGUGCGUGUCUGUUGUCUCCGCAUUCGGCUUCAGGACAGUUGCUUGUGCUGCGUGUGCGUGCAACAGCCUAUAUACAUGUGCAUGUGCUGAGGUGUGUGUGGAUGUGCCUGUGUGUGUACCUUUUUUUAUACAAUUCUCGUUUGCUUUUGCUGUUCUUGUUAUGAUGUACAGAACAUCAGCAAAGAAGGCCAAUGAGCCGCUCUCUCUCUUUGGCUGGAUCGGUGUAGCCUGCACAUGCCGAGCUGGCGAGGGUACGAGGUCUGCAGCGUUCUGUUUGCUUCUUUCUGACUUGGAACGCGCAACCAUCCUUCACCACCCUCUCGCUUGCUCGUUUUGGUUGUUCGUGUUUCCGUCAUUUUCCUCGUUGUCUUUCGAUUUUUUUUCGUUCUAGGGUGCUCGUUGACGCUUCACCGCGGUUCUUCCCGUCACGUCUCUUGCUCUACUCCGCCUUCUCUCUGGAUGAGCCUCAUCUACCCCACCCCCUCCCACCCGGCUUAUUGCCACUUCGAUGUACAUUGUCGUUCUCUUCGACUUCAACUAGAAUGGCGGAGAACAAGAGCGCGCGAUAUUAGAUAAGUAGCAAGACGGAGAAACUGCAGCCCCCCAAAAAAACCACAAGAGGAGAGGUGGUACGGGGAACGUCCCUACCUCCCUCCCUGUGCACCGCUGCCCCUUGUCUUUCGUAUGUUUGCUCUCUCUUUUCUUCAUGCUUUCCCUUCUGGUUUGAGCCCACCGCGAACCAGGAGCGGCGAGCUACAACG